GGCAGUCUUCUUCAGCCAAUCCUCAGAGAGGACUAACGCAGCACUCUCAGCAGAGGGAGACUGAGUCCUUCAUUCCUGGGAGGUGUCUGCGAAGCACAUCGCAGUGUGCACUGCAGCAGCAACACAAAAUGGACUAAGACACCGAGCAACCCCCAGGAGCAUCAAGGAAGGAGGCAUGAGGUGCCUGCUGAGCCCACCAUGCUCACUGCUUUCUCACUGCAUCUGGAGGUCCUGAGUUCACAAUAAUGAGAAGUUUUGAGCUGGAUAAAACUGUUCAGUUAUGGGGCACAUUGGAAAAGGAGGGAUCACACAUAUCUCAGAAACAAUGGAAUGCAUUUCCUGUUUGGUAGACGAAGGCUUCUAAAAGGUUGACUGGUUCCAAAAUUGCCUCUCAAAAAGACUCCUUUUUAAAGGCAAAUAAGGAAACUGAAAAGCUUAAGAGAUGAAUUAAAGAUGAAAAUAAAAAUAAUUUUAUGGUAACUGACAUGACUUUGACCAUUUCCUCCCUUUAUCCUCAAUGUAUUUGUUCACCCAUUUUCUCAGCCUACACCUACUAAUCCUUUUGCCCAGUUAUGCUUAUACCCUGAAGAUGAUGAGCGAUGGGAAGUUAGGCCCUCAGAACAGCCACGUCUGGUUCCUAUAACUACUUUUGCUCAAAACCGAGUAAAAAAACUGGUGAAAAAUUGAACUCAGAGUCAUAGCAAAAGAUUUUCCAAACCUUAGAGAAAACCCCAAAAAAUUUGCUGAGGAAUUUAGAAUUCUCACAGGAGUCCGUGACUCUGGACCUCCCAAUUUGUGUCAGAUUAUACACAUGAGAUGGGACCCGGGGAGGCAAGUAACUGGAUGGCCACAGCACGAUGGGAUACGCUUGAGGAAGUACUGCCAGCCAUGCAAGUGGUACUUCUAGGGUGGCCCAAAGAUGCCAGAAAAAUGGCUGGAAAACUUUAGAAGCUAUCCCCAUUGUCUUUCCAUAAAAGUUUCACUGCUCCAUUAUUCAAACAUGUGUGAAAGGAAAAUAAAAAACUCGGGACCCCAAUUCACCAUGCUAAAGGAAAAAAUCAAGCUGAAAGCUGAGUCAUGCAAGAAGCUGCCUUUUCUUUUGUUCCUAAGCAGAUAGCUACAGAUAAAAGGUGAAAUAUCUCCACAGGGGCCUUAUCUUAUAUAACCUGUCCAUUUACAGAGUGCGAGAUGAAUGCAUAAUCAACUAUCACCCUACCUGCUUCUUUUCUCUUGCAACACCUGGAUUACCAUGCCCUCCCUUUUUCCCCUCCAGCUCGCUUUUGCCCCUUAAAUACUGAAGCACUCAAAAUCAUCUUUGGACAAAGGCACAGACCACAGACUGUUUCUAUAAGUCCAUGUUUAUUUCUUCCAGGCAUUGUCCCUAAC